UUGAAUGGUGCAAUCUUUUUCUUUCUCUCUCUCUCUCUCUCUCUCUCUCUCUGUGUGUGUGUGUGUGAGAGAGAGAGAGAGAGAGAGAGAGGAGGAGGAGGAGGGAGAGGGAUUUGAAUG